CUCUAGGAAUCCUCCUGCCUCUGCCUCCCAAAGAGCUGGGACUACAGGCAUGAGCCACUGCGCCCUGCUGGAAUUCUCACCCCGACUGUCACUGGGUGAUAUCAUGAAGUGAUGGUCCAAGGAGAGGUAUAUGCAGUCUUGAUGCUCAAGAACAGAGAUGACUCAUAUAUUCUCACAUAUGCCAUAAUUAGUGGAUGAGAUCCGAAUUACGAGCUGGCUACAUACUGCCUCCUAUUCCUCCUCGAGUUUCCUGCUCUCUCCUUCUUUAGGUAUUUCCAGCUCUGAAAAGCCUGUUUUACUUCAUUCUCUUACCAAAGAGUUUGGUGACACAAAAUGAAAAGUUUGAUGGACAAUCUGGAAGAGUCCCACUAAGCAACACAAGAAAUACGCUCUCACAAAGACCUAUUCAUGUUUUCCAUGUUUCAAAUAUGACUGAACCUGACAUAUAUAAGAACGCAAAAGAUUCUUCAAAAUCAAACUGUGUCCGGAAUUGGUGGGUUCUUGGUCUCACUGACUUCAAGAAUGAAGCCACGGACCCUGGCGGUGAGUGUUACAGCUCUUAAGGUGGCGUUUCUGGAGUCUGUCCCUUCUGAUGUUCAGAUGUGUUCGGAGUUUCUUCCUUCUGGUGGGUUCGUGGUCUCGCUGGCUCAGGAGUGAAGCUGCAGAUCUUCACGGUUGCUAGUAACACAAUAAUAAAGCUGCUUUAUUUUCCAGUGAAGAUGUAUGUGAUAGGGAGUGGAGGAAGAAAAAGGCCAGAAAAUUCCAUAGUUAGCAAAUAUACCUUUCUUACUUAAAAUUCUUUUUCCAAUGUGAGCCUUCUAAAGAGUUACUGAGAAAUUAGGUGAGCUCACCUCAUUUAAUGCAAUAGAUAUGUUUCUGAAAAAUAAGCAAUACAUAGGACAUUGGCCAAUUAAGAAUUCUGAUGAAGAAGAAUUUUCACAUCCGAAAGAGUAAAAAUGAAAAACGGUACAAAUGUAGUGGCUUUUAAAUUUCAAAACAAAUUAUUUUGAUAAGAUAAAUAUUCCUCUCAUAAAGUGAAAAUGGAAGAGACUGCUUGCUGGGUGUUCGUCAAAAUGGAGUUAGAUGGUCUGUCCCAGACUCCCCUGUUGUUAGUUCUGAGAACAGAAGUAAUGGUGCUUCUUCAGGACUGGCUCAUAGAAACCUGCCGUGUUCAGCCCCCACAAUCCUCUCCCUUCUGCUGGCUGGAAACAAAUGACAACGAAGCCUCACGUCUUGGAGAAACCACACUGCUGAGGAACUCAAGUCCUAGAAGAACCAUUUGAAGAGACCCAUCUCACUAAAGAAAAUCACACAAGCAAGAAGUAAACUUCAUUGUAUCUAUGUAUUUAAUUGUCAUAACAGUCUACCUUAACUGAUACAGCAAAAAUUCGCUCCUUUUCUGGACACCCAGUUUCAAAAUCUCAGUGUCAUUUUUUACUUCUCUCUUUUCAGGUUGUUUAAUAUAAUAAAAUUUGUGUGUGUGUGUGUGUGUGUGUGACAAGGUCUUGCUCUGUUGCCCAGGCUGGAGUGCAAUGGCACGCUCCCAGCCCACUACAGCCUUGACCUCCAAGCUCAAGUGUUCCUCCCACCUCAGCCUCCAGAGUAACUGGGACUACAGGCAUGGGCCACCACACCCGGCUAAUUUUUGUACUUUUUGUAGAGACAGGGUUUCACCAUGUUGCCCAGGCUGGUCUUGAACCCCUGGGCUCAAGCGAUCUGCCCAUCUCCACCUCCCAAAAUUCUAGGAUUACAGGCGUGAGCCACUACACCCAACCAUUUUAUUUUUAAAAGUUUUCUUUGCAAUAUUGCUCACAUUGUUUCCUUCCUUUUUAUUCUUAUUGUCACUCCCAAGUUCAGGCUUUUACCUCUUUUAUUUGAAGUAUUAAAGUAUACUUCUAAGUCAUUUCUGUGGCUUAAAUUUAUUUAAUCCACUCCAUCCUGCAUCCUACCAACACAAUAACAUUGUUUCAUCAUUUCAAAUUGAAAUCGAAACUCUCCAAAGCUUUCCUACUGCUGAAUGGAUAAAAACACAAAAUCCUCAAUAGAGAAUUCACUUUCUGGAGCCAACUUACCUUUCCAAAUAUUUCCCAUUAUUCCCUAAGAGAAUCCUCCUGACAUACUCACUGUUUUUCAUAUACACUAGACCUUUUCUCAACCACCUAUUUGUCCACACAUUUUUCUUCCAGCUAGAAUAUUAUUUUCCCUUUCUCACUUCUGAAAGUCUUACCUGUCAUUCAUGGUUCAUCUCAAGCUCAAUCUUCUCCUUGAAACCUUUAAGCAUACCCUCCUGGAAAGUUAUCUCCCUCACCUCGAACCACCCCCCCAGCCCCUGCCAGAAUCUCCUAUAGGGCUGAUUGUUUAUCCUGCUUAUUAUAUAUUUAUAAAACACUCCACUGAGUUAUUAAUUACCUUUUCCUUGACUGUGAAAACAUGACUCUGGCUUCAAGGUAGGACCAUUUUUUCUCUAACACUGUGUCUCAUACACUUCAGCACAAGCUCUUAGUGGCCUGUGCAUUCAACUCCCAUGCAUAGCCACUUCCUCCAGGCAAACCCCACAGCCAGCAUCCAAAUUUUAAAAGGGGUUCUGUCAUCAACCCAAAGUUUCUUCUCUCUCAAGGAACCUAGAUUUAGAAGUUGAGUCUAGGCCACCUGUCUAAGAUACAGUAGUUAAUUUAACAUAUUUUAUUGCUCUCAACAUCACAGAGAAAGAGCCUUACUGCAGAUCUCAUUCUUUCCUUCAAAGCCAGUUUGCCCAUUCCUCUUCAGAAACCUUUAAGAGUGGUUAUUGGGAGAGAUGAUAAGACUCCAUCUGCUUAAGGAGUCCCUCUAACCCAGAAUAGUAGAUGUAAACACCUGACAUGUUGUUAUAGAGUGAAUGUUUGUGUUCCCCUCCAAUCCAUAUGUUGAAAUUCCAAGCCCCAAUGUGUUCGCAUUGGGAGGUGAGGCCUUUGGGAGGUAAAUAGAUCAUGAAGGUGAAGUCUUCAUGAAUGGAUUAGUGUCCUUAUAAAAGAGACCCCAGAGAGCUCUCUCAUCCUGUUUCUGCCAUGUGAGGACACAGCAAGAAGUUGGUCAUCUGCAACCUGAAGUGGCUCCUCCCCAGAAACUGAAUCUGCUGGGGUCUUAAUGGUGGGCUUCCCAGCCUCCAGAAUUAUGAGUGUAAAUGUUUGUUGUUUAAGCUACCCAGUCUAGGGUAGUUUGCUAUACUACCCCAAACUGACUAAGAUACAUAUGUUUGUCAUCCACUCAGUUGUUUUCCUAAAAUAAAUGAAGUCAGCUCCAAA